AUUAUCCCGUAAUUCUCUCUGCACAACGCCCACAAAGCUUUGCCGCUCCUCCUCUACUAUCCCAAUCCCGUAAUUUUCUCACAGAUGCGAGCGCGGAUCGCUGCCGCAGCCCACCGCUCCUCUACUUCCCAUGGGCCCGAGCAAACGGAGCCAACAACCCGAAGCAACCCGAGCGACGGAGGAAAGGGUGAUGGUGUAGGCAGCGGCGGGGGUGGAGACGAUGCGGGCGUCGCACAUCCUGAUCAGGCACGAGGAGUCCCGGCGCGAGGCAUCCUGGAAGGACCCCGAGGGCCAGGUCAUUUCCGCCACUACGCGCGACGAUGCCGCCGCGCGCCUCGGCGAGCUCCACGGCCAGAUCCUCGCCGACUGCGCCUCCUUCGCCGACCUUGCAGCGCAGCACUCUGCCCGCCCACCCGCCGCUGGACUCCACCAAAGGGCCGAUCAUGCGAGGCAGAUUCAGGAUUGCUUGGUGAUGGAUAAGAUCAACCCGUGUGGCCAGCAGUAUUGGUACCAAUGCUGAUAUAUUUUUUGCAAGUCUCAAGCAUGGUUUCUUUCUGAUUGUGAGGAUGAAUUUUACAAACAGGAUGUUUGAGAAGGUGAUCGUGUGGCUGAAGAAUGAUGUUAAUGAUUGGAGGUGCUCCAACCAGGAAGCAUUCAGGUGGUGCCUGCGUUGGACACAGUGUUUUUUAGGAUGAGAUCAUUCAUUUGGGACUUUUCACUGAGCAGAGUAAGACCAACCAAAACUAUGGGUUGAAUUUGUUGUGCUAAAGGGACCGACAUAAUGCAUUGUUGAGUUCUGAAUUCAUCAAGUUUGUGUCAGCUGUGCGGGAAGGUCAGGGUGCAGAAUUUGUGAAGUGUUAUAUAGACAAACCAAUACAUUCUUCUUUCGAAAGGAGCUGUUUGCUUUGCUGGUGCUAAGGCACUUUGGAAUAGCUGGGUGCCAUUGAACUGCA